rnacentral:rRNA from 1 species
UGGGGAAUCUUCCGCAAUGGACGAAAGUCUGACGGAGCAACGCCGCGUGAGUGAAGACGGCCUUCGGGUUGUAAAGCUCUGUGAUCCGGGACGAAAGAGCCUGAGGUGAAUAGCCUAAGGAAGUGACGGUACCGGAAAAGCAAGCCACGGCUAACUACGUGCCAGCAGCCGCGGUAAUACGUAGGUGGCAAGCGUUGUCCGGAAUUAUUGGGCGUAAAGCGCGCGCAGGCGGCUUCCUAAGUCCAUCUUAAAAGUGCGGGGCUUAACCCCGUGAUGGGAUGGAAACUGGGAGGCUGGAGUAUCGGAGAGGAAAGUGGAAUUCCUAGUGUAGCGGUGAAAUGCGUAGAGAUUAGGAAGAACACCGGUGGCGAAGGCGACUUUCUGGACGAAAACUGACGCUGAGGCGCGAAAGCGUGGGGAGCAAACAGG